AUCAGAAAAACUUUUCCUACCUUUGCAGCCCCGACGGGAAACCGGGAGGGAGUUUCCGCCAGACGGAUGGUCCGGCGGAUGAAAAAAUGAAGAAGACGAACAGGCAGCGCUGCGGAAGCGGUCCCUUUUAAAAGGGGAAGCGGAAAGCGGGAAAGCUGAUAAAAAGUUCUUUGAAAGAAUGAUCUUAAGAAAAGGUAGCAGUUCUGAGCUAUCGAGAAAUCGAUAGUGUGCUUACAAGGGAAGGGCUUCCGUACAGAUAUUAAGGGGCUGUCGCUUUCGGGCGACGGCCGCAGUCAGCUUCACUUCCGGGCGGUCGCAAGACGGAACGGGAGGGGAGAUGUGACAAAAGAGCAAAUACAACGGAGAGUUUGAUCCUGGCUCAGGAUGAACGCUAGCGGCAGGCUUAAUACAUGCAAGUCGAACGGUAGCAGGGCUUCGGCCCUGUGAGAGUGGCGCACGGGUGCGUAACGCGUAUGCAACCUGCCUUCAGUUGGGGGAUAGCCCGGGGAAACCCGGAUUAAUACCGCAUAACACAGGGGCCCCGCAUGGGGAUAUUUGUUAAAGAUUUAUCGACUGAAGAUGGGCAUGCGUCUGAUUAGCUGGUUGGAGAGGUAACGGCUCACCAAGGCAACGAUCAGUAGGGGAUCUGAGAGGAUGACCCCCCACACUGGUACUGAGAUACGGACCAGACUCCUACGGGAGGCAGCAGUAAGGAAUAUUGGACAAUGGGCGCAAGCCUGAUCCAGCCAUGCCGCGUGCAGGAAGACGGCCCUAUGGGUUGUAAACUGCUUUUGUAAGGGAAUAAACCCCCGGACGUGUCCGGGGUUGAAGGUACCUUACGAAUAAGCAUCGGCUAACUCCGUGCCAGCAGCCGCGGUAAUACGGAGGAUGCAAGCGUUAUCCGGAUUUAUUGGGUUUAAAGGGUGCGUAGGCGGCCUGUUAAGUCAGAGGUGAAAGGUUGCGGCUUAACCGCAGAAAUGCCUUUGAUACUGGCGGGCUUGAAUAAAGUUGAGGUAGGCGGAAUGUGGCAAGUAGCGGUGAAAUGCAUAGAGAUGCCACAGAACACCGAUUGCGAAGGCAGCUUACUAAGCUUUGAUUGACGCUGAGGCACGAAAGCGUGGGGAUCAAACAGGAUUAGAUACCCUGGUAGUCCACGCAGUAAACGAUGAGAACUAGCUGUUGGCGAUAGAAUGUCAGCGGCACAGCGAAAGCGUUAAGUUCUCCACCUGGGGAGUACGACCGCAAGGUUGAAACUCAAAGGAAUUGACGGGGGCCCGCACAAGCGGAGGAGCAUGUGGUUUAAUUCGAUGAUACGCGAGGAACCUUACCUGGGCUUGAAAGUGAGUGACCGGCGCUGAAAGGCGCCCUCCCUUCGGGGCACAAAACUAGGUGCUGCAUGGCUGUCGUCAGCUCGUGCCGUGAGGUGUUGGGUUAAGUCCCGCAACGAGCGCAACCCCUAUCAUCAGUUGCCAGCAGGUAAAGCUGGGGACUCUGGUGAGACUGCCUGCGCAAGCAGUGAGGAAGGAGGGGACGACGUCAAGUCAUCAUGGCCCUUACGUCCAGGGCUACACACGUGCUACAAUGGUAGCUACAGAGGGCAGCGACCUUGCAAAAGGGAGCCAAUCUCAAAAAGGCUAUCACAGUUCGGAUUGAGGUCUGCAACUCGACCUCAUGAAGUUGGAUUCGCUAGUAAUCGCGUAUCAGCAAUGACGCGGUGAAUACGUUCCCGGGCCUUGUACACACCGCCCGUCAAGCCAUGGGAGCCGGGGGUACCUGAAGGCCGUUGCCGCAAGGAGCGGCUAAGGGUAAAACUGGUGACUGGGGCUAAGUCGUAACAAGGUAGCCGUACCGGAAGGUGCGGCUGGAAUACCUCCUUUCU
rnacentral:rRNA from 1 species